rnacentral:rRNA from 1 species
ACGGGUGAGUAACGCGUGGGAAUCUACCCAUCUCUACGGAAUAACGCAUGGAAACGUGUGCUAAUACCGUAUACGUCCUUCGGGAGUAAGAUUUAUCGGAGAUGGAUGAGCCCGCGUUGGAUUAGCUAGUUGGUGGGGUAAAGGCCUACCAAGGCGACGAUCCAUAGCUGGUCUGAGAGGAUGAUCAGCCACACUGGGACUGAGACACGGCCCAGACUCCUACGGGAGGCAGCAGUGGGGAAUAUUGGACAAUGGGCGCAAGCCUGAUCCAGCCAUGCCGCGUGAGUGAUGAAGGCCCUAGGGUUGUAAAGCUCUUUCACCGGUGAAGAUAAUGACGGUAACCGGAGAAGAAGCCCCGGCUAACUUCGUGCCAGCAGCCGCGGUAAUACGAAGGGGGCUAGCGUUGUUCGGAUUUACUGGGCGUAAAGCGCACGUAGGCGGACUAUUAAGUCAGGGGUGAAAUCCCGGGGCUCAACCCCGGAACUGCCUUUGAUACUGGUAGUCUUGAGUUCGAGAGAGGUGAGUGGAAUUCCGAGUGUAGAGGUGAAAUUCGUAGA